rnacentral:tRNA from 1 species
GGACCAUUCGCCCAAUCGGUGAGGGCAUCCGGCUCAUAACCGGACGGUUCUGGGUUCGAUUCCCUGAUGGUCCA